rnacentral:lncRNA from 1 species
GCACAUGAAGAAAUUAAUGAAGACCAUCCAGUGGAAAUUCAUGAAUAUUUGUCAAUGCUUGAGAAUUACACUGGUGCUGUGGAUAAUAUGCUAAAGACCAUGAUGUCUGUUUCUUGAAAUGAGUUGUUGCAGAAGUUGGACCCACUUAAACAAGUGAAAGUGGAUUUAGUUUCUAUGUACACAUUAAAUUUAAAGUUUUGAGUUUAUUUGGCAACUCAAGGAGUUAAUACUAAGAAACAGCUAGUAAAGCAGGAAGGAAUUGGAAAGAAUCAGAAUAUAUAUGAACACAGUCAAGGAAAUAACAGAAAAAGGCUGGCAAGCUGGACAGAGGUACAUCUUCAACAUUUGUAAAAAAUGACCUCUGGGAACUGAAACCUAAAAAU